AGAGUUUGAUCCUGGCUCAGAGUGAACGCUGGCGGCGUGCCUAAUACAUGCAAGUCGAACGAUGAAGCUUCUAGCUUGCUAGAGUGCUGAUUAGUGGCGCACGGGUGAGUAACGCAUAGGUCAUGUGCCUCUUAGUUUGGGAUAGCCAUUGGAAACGAUGAUUAAUACCAGAUACUCCCUACGGGGGAAAGAUUUAUCGCUAAGAGAUCAGCCUAUGUCCUAUCAGCUUGUUGGUAAGGUAAUGGCUUACCAAGGCUAUGACGGGUAUCCGGCCUGAGAGGGUUAAACGGACACACUGGAACUGAGACUACGGUCCAGACUCCUACGGGAGGCAGCAGUAGGGAAUAUUGCUCAAUGGGGGAAACCCUGAAGCAGCAACGCCGCGUGGAGGAUGAAGGUUUUAGGAUUGUAAACUCCUUUUUGUUAGAGAAGAUAAUGACGGUAUCUAACGAAUAAGCACCGGCUAACUCCGUGCCAGCAGCCGCGGUAAUACGGAGGGUGCAAGCGUUACUCGGAAUCACUGGGCGUAAAGAGCGCGUAGGCGGGAUAGUCAGUCAGGUGUGAAAUCCUAUGGCUUAACCAUAGAACUGCAUUUGAAACUACUAUUCUAGAGUGUGGGAGAGGUAGGUGGAAUUCUUGGUGUAGGGGUAAGAUCCGUAGAGAUCAAGAGGAAUACUCAUUGCGAAGGCGACCUGCUGGAACAUUACUGACGCUGAUUGCGCGAAAGCGUGGGGAGCAAACAGGAUUAGAUACCCUGGUAGUCCACGCCCUAAACGAUGGAUGCUAGUUGUUGGAGGGCUUAGUCUCUCCAGUAAUGCAGCUAACGCAUUAAGCAUCCCGCCUGGGGAGUACGGUCGCAAGAUUAAAAACUCAAAGGAAUAGACGGGGACCCGCACAAGCGGUGGAGCAUGUGGUUUAAUUCGAAGAUACACGAAGAACCUUACCUAGGCUUGACAUUGAGAGAAUCCGCUAGAAAUAGUGGAGUGUCUAGCUUGCUAGACCUUGAAAACAGGUGCUGCACGGCUGUCGUCAGCUCGUGUCGUGAGAUGUUGGGUUAAGUCCCGCAACGAGCGCAACCCCCUUUCUUAGUUGCUAACAGGUCAUGCUGAGAACUCUAAGGAUACUGUCUCCGUAAGGAGGAGGAAGGUGGGGACGACGUCAAGUCAUCAUGGCCCUUACGCCUAGGGCUACACACGUGCUACAAUGGGGUGCACAAAGAGAAGCAAUACUGCGAAGUGGAGCCAAUCUUCAAAACGCCUCUCAGUUCGGAUUGUAGGCUGCAACUCGCCUGCAUGAAGCUGGAAUCGCUAGUAAUCGCAAAUCAGCCAUGUUGCGGUGAAUACGUUCCCGGGUCUUGUACUCACCGCCCGUCACACCAUGGGAGUUGUGUUUGCCUUAAGUCAGGAUGCUAAACUAGCUACUGCCCACGGCACACACAGCGACUGGGGUGAAGUCGUAACAAGGUAACCGUAGGUGAACCUGCGGUUG
rnacentral:rRNA from 1 species